rnacentral:rRNA from 1 species
AACCGCGGUUAUACGAGAGGCCCAAAUCGAUUUUUCACGGCACAAAGAGUGAUUAUAAUGUUCGAAUAAACUAAAGCCAAAUGAUUUCAGGACUGUUGUACGUUUACGAAACUAAGAGGCACACUUACGAAAGUAGCUUUAUAUAACUAAAAUCACGAAAGCUGUGGUA